AGUGUAGGCGGUUACUUAAGUCGGAUGUGAAAUCCCCGGGCUCAACCUGGGAAUUGCAUUCGAUACUGGGUAGCUAGAGUUUGGUAGAGGUAAGUGGAAUUCCGGGUGUAGCGGUGAAAUGCGUAGAUAUCCGGGGGAACAUCAGUGGCGAAGGCGGCUUACUGGACCAAAACUGACGCUGAGGCUCGAAAGCGUGGGGAGCAAACAGGAUUAGAUACCCUGGUAGUCC
rnacentral:rRNA from 1 species